CGGCGGACGGGUGAGUAACACGUGGAUAACCUACCUAUAAGACUGGGAUAACUUCGGGAAACCGGAGCUAAUACCGGAUAAUAUAUUGAACCGCAUGGUUCAAUAGUUAAAGACGGUUUUGCUGUCACUUAUAGAUGGAUCCGCGCCGCAUUAGCUAGUUGGUAAGGUAACGGCUUACCAAGGCAACGAUGCGUAGCCGACCUGAGAGGGUUAUCGGCCACACUGGAACUGAGACACGGUCCAGACUCCUACGGGAGGCAGCAGUG
rnacentral:rRNA from 1 species